AUGACUUGAGUUUUGAUUUUGAGUCGGAUUCGGAGGGAGUACAAGAUAGAUAUGGAGAAGAAGAAUUUGAGGCAUAGUUACAUAUGCUUGGGAUUGUUUGCAAGAAUUGAAUUUGGUUUGCUUUUAUUACUUAUGUUAUUGUAAUGGACUAAUGGUUGUUUUUAUUUUUUAGACAUUAUUAUCUCUUAAAUAUUGUAAUAUUUUAUGGACUAUUUUUAUUAUUUUAGACAUUAUAUAUUAGAUUAUAUGUUUUAAAAAUAAUAAAAAAAUCCAGAAAUUAGAAUCCGAGUACUCCUCUACUCGCUACUCACCGGCCGGCCGACCGACUACCGAGUAGCGAGUUUUAGAACCUUGCCUACAGCACACUUGUUCCUCUCGGCGUCGGCUUCAAGCUUAAGGUCUCGGACUGCACCUGCAUCCAUAGAGGACAACAAAAUCAAAGAGAGAAGUUGGAGCUUUUCUAGCCGAACUCGAUAUUCCGGCCACUCCGGCGAGACCCAUCGAUUCUAGCUGGUACAUGAACACUCCUCUUCCUAUUCUCUACGCUCGAGUGUAUUAGAUUAUCAAAUUCCAUCGAAUUUUGAAAAGUUUCUUUUAUGGGUUUUUGGGAGUUUGACUCCGACAAAGUCUGAAACACCGGCAUCUCUACGGUGCUCACUGGCUUGUUGCUACAAGGGAAACCGUGUUGGGUAUGCUGACGUCUGCUUGUUAUGUACAGAGGAACUGAACAAGUUUUAUGCUUAGGCCAAUUAUCAAGAAUAGAGAAGAUGGUGGUGAUGGAAUCUUUCUGCUCAACGUCCAUAAGGUGUUAACCCAGUUGGGUUUUGUUAAUCACAAGGUAAAAUGAAAAACUCAAAGUUUAAAUUAUGGGUCUUGCCAUGUUGGUUAGUUGUACAGAUUGGAUUGUUUGCGUCAAAGCCCCAGUCAGGGCCGGUUCUGACCCCCAGUAUUUACCGAUGACUGUGGAGGUGGUUCCCGCCUUCCGGCAAGCUAGUGAUCGAUUGUAGUCAUAGUUACAGUGAUAAUGGGAAUUACAAAAAUAUCCCCCACUAACGAUUCUGUCAACGUACGCGUACAACGCGAGUAGCGCAGCUUUUGCCUUUGAGGAUUAUUUAUUUCAUCAAUUUUCAUCAUCAGUCUUGACUUAAUUUUUGGACGAUGCGUGACCUGAUUGUUAUGGGAAAGUUUCAAAAUUCUUCUGAUUUGUCAUAAAAAAUCAGUUUUAGGAGCUAAAUUUGAUGCCUUUGUUCAUGAGGCUAUUUGGUAGAGAGCUUAGAUAGUUAAUGUAUGUAAGCGAUUUAGAUACAAUGAAAAUGUAUUUUAGCCUCUCCAAACAUAGUGUCGUAGAAAGUAGAUUUGUUUUCUGUUGAUUUCGAACUGGUUGGUCAGAUUUAUUAUUGCUUUUUCCUUUAUUUUCUUAUUUGAUUCCUUUUCUGCCUAUGGUCUUCAUGCAGCAUCAGUUGUUCUAAAUAUGUAAGGGGAUAUUCUUCUUUAUAAUAGUUAGGAAAAAUUUCAGUUUACUCUCUUGAAUUUUAGGUCUAAAAUCAGUCUGAUACCUCACCUUUUUUUUUAAUCAAUUUCAUCCCUAAACUUUCAAAAUGACAUCAAUCUCGACCAAAAUGACUAAAAUAGCUCUUGUUACGGUUUUCCCUCAAUUACAGCCUUUAUCACACCCCAAAAGCAUAAACCUAAAGAUCAAAAACUUAAUCCNNN
rnacentral:lncRNA from 1 species